UCUGGCUUCAGUUCUCUGGAAUAUUUUUUUUUUUUCCCAGUUCUUCUUUAUUUUGCAAGUCAGCUUCGUUCUCAGGCUGGCUGCUUUCAGGAUUGCACUGGGGUCAGAGCCAAAGCCACACCUUGUCCCUCAUGCCCAGGGGCCGAGAGAGCACUUUUCUUUCCAGGAUUCUAGCCUGUGACUUGAGACCGGCCUGGGUUGUACCUCUCACCCCUCCUGCCCUGCUGACCGUGGACUGAGAGAUGCUCCCUCCUGUGCCGCCGGCCGCCUUGGAGGCAAUUUCCCCUGAAGGAGAAUGUGCUCUGAGGGAGACAGGGAGGGAGCGGUGCGGGGGAGGCGGCAGCUCAUUCUUGGUACAGACUCACUUUAGGGUAGGAACAGCCAAGGUCUGAGCGAUUUAUAGAGGCCAUUUGGUAAUGGAGCAGAGACCAGACUCGGACAUCUUUGUAUUCAGACCUCUUUCCAAACAUCCAAUUCUCUGUGCCCUUUGCUGAUGCUGUUUGCGACCUUCCUUUUGUCAGAGGCUGGGACAGCAGAGUUAGAUAUUAGGAGUGAGAGAAGGUCCUCCUCUUGUCUCGCUGAUACCAACAAUUCUACAUAAUGAUCUUCUUUUGGGUUACAGUAUUGUUCACUCAUUCAAAAACACAUGUUCAUUGAGCUGGGAACAUUGGCUGGCUCGGCCCAUCUGGAAACCUGUCCGUUAAUCAAGAGUCUUUUAGUUGCCUGUCAUAGAAAUUUCUUCAAGUUCGCUUCGGCAAAAGAGGGAGGGGGAUUUAUCCUAGGGAUACAGGAUUCUGCAUCCUGUUCCCUAUUCUCCUACAAAUUACAGCAUCAUCCUGUAUGACAGUGUGUUUAAUAACGGUACGCACCUUGCUUAUUUGAACAUAUUGAUUGACACGCGCGGUCUUGCAGGCUCUUUGGUAGAUCACGCGUGUCUUCCUGGGUGAAUGCUCUUUUACUGUCAUUAUAUUUGGGUUUAGGGAACUUCAAAUAAAAUCUAACCCCAUUUGCAUGCGCUUCCAGCUAGCUCAUUUAGGCUUAAUUAGAUGGAUGUAUUCAAGAACGGUGAAGGGACUGAAAAAUUCUCAGGGAAAAAAAAAAAAGACCCAGGAUGAAUUGGAAAGCUG
rnacentral:lncRNA from 1 species